CUCUGGGAAACUGGGGAUAAUACUGGAUAUUAGGCUAUGCCUGGAAUGGUUUGCCUUUGAAAUGUUUUUUUUCGCCUAAGGAUAGGUCUGCGGCUGAUUAGGUCGUUGGUGGGGUAAUGGCCCACCAAGCCGAUGAUCGGUACGGGUUGUGAGAGCAAGGGCCCGGAGAUGGAACCUGAGACAAGGUUCCAGACCCUACGGGGUGCAGCAGGCGCGAAACCUCCGCAAUGUACGAAAGUGCGACGGGGGGAUCCCAAGUGUUAUGCUUUUUUGUAUGACUUUUCAUUAUGUAAAAAGCUUUUAGAAUAAGAGCUGGGCAAG
rnacentral:rRNA from 1 species